GGGUCUGGGAGCCGAGAGGCCCCCACAAGCUGUGAAUCCUUGGAUGUGUCGCCCCCGGGAGCCCGUGAGGAGCCUUGGCUGAAGGAGCUGAGCUUGGCUUUCCUGCAGCAAUAUGUGCAGUAUCUGCAGAGCAUAGGUUUUGUGCUGGUACCACUGCGGCCCCCCUCACCCGCCCGCAGCACCAGCCGGCCACGGGCCAUGGCUAUCCUUGGAACAGAGGGUCGAGGCUCCUUCUCCUGCCCUAAAACCAAGACUGAUGGGAGCCCCAAGAGCACUAGCUCUCCGGUAACCACCUACCACCUGCAGCGGGCACUGCCUGGGGGCAUCAUCCUCAUGGAACUGGCAUUCCAGGUAAGCAGGAGGAGCACUGAGUGGAGACAGCCAGACCCACCUGUCUCUCGCCUUCCUGAUCUCAUCUUCACCUUCCCUCCAGGGCUGUUACUUCUGUGUCAAACAGUUUGCCCUGGAAUGUUCCCGAAUCCCAAUGGGGCAGGCUGUCAACUCACAGGUAUGUGAAUGAGCUAUGGGCACAGUCAGUGCACCCCAGUGUGCUGUGGGCAGCAUGGCUCCAUGUCCCAUUUGCUGGGCAGUAGAGUAAUGCAGUAGGCGGGCUGGCCCAGUGACUUAUUCACUGCUAUGGCCUGGCUAGGUCAGUGCUCAUUCUGGUGCCAUGACUGCACUCACUACAAGGCUGACCCCAUCGGUCAUCCAAAGCGUGUUCAGCUGUAGCCCUGAGGCAGCACAGUGCCUGGUCUGGCCUGUAGUCAUCUAGAGUCUGUGGCAGACCCUGAUGGAAUCUGGGAUAGAGCAAAAUGGCCCAGUUUCUGAAAAUGGCCCUAGUUUCAUGGAAAUAGUUACAGUAUGAAAAAGGGAGGCUAGAAUGGGGAGGCCUUCCCACAGAAACCAUUCUGGCAGAGGGCGUUCCACUAGGCCACAGCAGCAGGGGAAAUCUUGCGCUUCUUCCCACGGAAGGAGGGAAAUGUGUAUUGGGCAGCCAGUGCAGCCAUACCUUAACCCUGUCUCCUGCUGCUGCCUCCCCAGCUGUCCAUGCUGUUCACAGAGGAGUGUGACAAGGUGCGGGACCUGAUGCACGUGCACUCGUUCAGCUAUGACUUCCAUCUGCGCCUCGUGCAUCAGCACGUGCUAGGUGCCCACCUGGUGCUGCGGCACGGCUACCACCUCACCACCUUCCUGCGACACUUCCUGGCCCACCACCCUGACGGACCCCACUUUGGCCGCAAUCACAUUUACCAAGGGACAUUGGAGCUCCCCACACCACUCAUUGCUGCCCACCAGCUGUACAACUACGUGGCUGAUCACGCCAGCUCUUACCACAUGAAGCCAUUGCGAAUGGCCCGGCCAGGGGGCCCAGAACACAACGAGUAUGCCCUGGUGUCGGCAUGGCACAGUUCUGGCUCCUACCUGGACUCUGAGGGACUUCGCCACCAGGAUGACUUUGAUGUAUCUCUGCUUGUCUGUCACUGUGCUGCACCCUUUGAGGAGCAAGGAGAGGCUGAGCGGCACGUUCUGCGGCUACAGUUCUUCGUGGUGCUCACCAGCCAGCGAGAGCUCUUCCCCAGGCUCACUGCUGACAUGCGCCGCUUCCGGAAGCCACCCAGACUGCCCCCUGAGCCAGAGGCUCCUGGGAGUUCAGCUGGCAGCCCUGGGGAGGCCUCAGGGCUUGUUCUAGCGCCUGGACCGGCUCCUCUCUUCCCACCACUGGCUGCAGAGGUGGGCAUGGCACGAGCACGGCUGGCUCAGCUGGUGCGGCUGGCUGGAGGGCACUGCCGUCGGGACACCCUUUGGAAGCGCCUCUUCUUGCUGGAGCCACCAGGGCCUGAUCGACUGCGGCUAGGGGGGCGCCUGGCCCUGGCAGAGCUGGAGGAACUCCUAGAAGCAGUCCAUGCCAAAUCCAUUGGGGACAUCGACCCCCAGCUGGACUGCUUCCUAUCCAUGACGGUCUCCUGGUACCAGAGCCUGAUCAAAGUUCUCCUAAGCCGCUUCCCCCAGAGCUGUCGCCAUUUCCAAAGCCCAGACUUGGGAACUCAGUACCUGGUAAGUCCCCUUGAGCUUCCUCUGAAAAGGGAAACACAGCAGAAAUCCUCACCAAACAGAUGUGCCCCUCAGCCUGACCAAACAAGCUCUGCUCUGGAGGGAGGCCUAGACAGAACGGGACUACACAGAUACAUGUAAAACCCUUCCAGUACCGGGCAUCGAGCUACAGCAUGUGAUUCUCUGAGCAGCUCUGCCCUCAAAGACUCACCAAGAAUACAAGCCUUGGCUUGAGAUCCUGAGGGCCAGGCUCUGGAACUGACAACCCAAGGAGCUGUCAGAACUUUGUCAGUAGGCUGGAGCCCCAGAAAGGACCCCUUGGACUUUGAAGCCUUGUUACUUAAAGUGUGGUCCACAGACCAGCAGCCGCAGCACCUGGGAGCUUGCUGAAAUGCAGGCUCUCCGGCCACAUUUCAGACUGUUGACUUGGGAUCUGCAGGUUGACAGUCUCCCCAGGUGAUUUGUGUGCACACUGAGGCGUGAAAGCACUGCUGUAAAGGACAGGUAGAGAUAACUGUGGUGGUGGACACAAGCACAGGGCAUUAAGGAGCCCACAGAGAUGGGCCCGGCCAGAGCUGAGGUUCAAGAGAGGAGGCAUUACAAGAGAAGACUUCAAGUGAGAAAGUAGGAGGUGGAGCCAGGUGAGGGGUCCUGCAGCACAGUGCUUGUGCAGAGGAUUCAUUUCAGGGUGCAGGAAGGGUCUCCCAGAGAAGCCAAGGUCAGUUAGGAUGAGGCUGCAGUAGUGUCGGCGGUUGUGAAUGGAGGGAGGUGCUCCUGCGGGUGGUGGGAAGGCUGGAGCAGGAGUGGGUUUUGGGGAAGGGUGACAAGCCCAGCUUGGGGCAAGCUGAGUCUGGGGUCCAUAGGCCCUUCACUGUCUGCAAGGUCUGUAGGCAUCAGGGAUUCGAGCUCAGGAGAGUCCUAGGCAGCAGCUCUGUGAACAGGCGGUAACUGAAGCCUUGGGAGAGCAAAUCAUCCCGGGAUGGAUCACCAAGCAGAGCGUUAGGGAGCAGACGGACAUAAGGGGACGACAGGACAAUCCCAGGGGUGGUCAGAGAGGAGUCCCAGGACAGGAGGCAAGGAGGUUGUGCCAGGGGUACAGCACUCUCUGUUGAUUGGCUUCAGUGUGCCAGGCUCUGUGUAGGGCCUCCAGGAUCAACUGUUACCCCUCAUUCUGAUGCAGCUCAGACAGGCUGACCAGCAAGCCAGCGAGGAUGAGGACUGAGGCUCAAUUUGGAGACACGGUCCUAUGUGACCUCGGGGUGCAGGCGGGGUGAGGUGUGGAGAUGGAAGUAGGCCUCUCCUCAUCCUCCCUUCACCUCAGGAUGCCCUGUGGGAGGGUCUGUAGGGUCUGUGUCCCCUCCUCAUCUUUCACUGCAGGUUGUGCUGAAUCAGAAGUUCACUGACUGCUUUGUGCUAGUGUUUCUGGACUCCCACUUAGGAAAGACGUCUCUGACAGUGGUUUUCCGAGAGCCCUUCCCAGUACAGCCCCAGGACAGCGAGAGCCCCCCUGCCCAACUGGUCUCCACCUACCACCACCUGGAGUCUGUCAUCAACACAGCCUGUUUCACCCUCUGGACCCGCCUCCUCUGAGGGAGUGGACUGGACCACUGAAUGUCACUGUUCCUUGAAUCAUGGGCCUACCAGAUUGCCUGCCAGAGGCAGGACUGACCAGCCCUUCUGGGCCCCAGGGCAAGCCAGACACUGAGUGACACCAAAGGCUUUGUAACUAUGUCUUGAGGGUCUGCUGCACCAGCCUGGCAGCAGGAACCGCCCUCCCCAAACACCCACAGCCACUGACCCAUCCAGGACUCCAGAGAGUCAGGUCAACCCCGAGGACCCCUUGGGCCCUUCUGGGGUACUCCUUUCGGCCCCCCUGGUAGAGUCUCGGGAGUUCACAUGGGGUGGCAAACACCCCCUAGAGCUCCUCUGCCUGAAUCCUGCCCCCUAGCCUUUGACCACUGUCAGCCACCUGUGUCCCUUGAGCCUUCGGGUCUUCACUUCCCACUUGGACAUCACUGCUGGACAUUCCCAUCGAGAUGACACCUGGGUUCCAAUCCCAGCUCUGCCUUUGAAGCACUUGUGGCCACCGUCAAGUCCCUUUGCUCUCGGACCCUGGGUUUCUCAUCCUUUAAUGAGGUGGGUUCAGAAGCUCUCCCAUCUUCACAGCAACCCUGGCACUGGCUUCUCAAUU
rnacentral:sRNA from 1 species